rnacentral:rRNA from 1 species
UAGGGAAUAUUGCAAAAUGGGCGAAAGCCCGAUGCAGCAACGCCGCGUGGGCGAUGUAGGCCUUCGGGUCGUAAAGCCCUUUUUGAGGGGAUGAGGAAGGACAGUACCCUCAGAAUAAGCCUCGGCUAACUACGUGCCAGCAGCCGCGGUACAACGUAGGAGGCGAGCGUUAUCCGGAUUUACUGGGCGUAAAGCGCGUGCAGGCGGAUUGGAGAGUUGGAUGUGAAAGCUCCCGGCUUAACUGGGAGAGGUCGUUCAAUACUUCCAGGCUUGAGUGCAGUAGAGGGAAGUGGAAUUCCGGGUGUAGUGGUGAAAUGCGUAGAUAUCCGGAGGAACACCAGUGGCGAAAGCGGCUUCCUGGACUGUAACUGACGCUCAGACGCGAAAGCUAGGGUAGCAAACG